GAUGAACGCUGGCGGCGUGCUCAACACAUGCAAGUCGAACGGAAAGGCCUGUACUUGUACAGGUACUCGAGUGGCGAACGGGUGAGUAACACGUGGGUGAUCUGCCCUGCACUGUGGGAUAAGCCCGGGAAACUGGGUCUAAUACCAUAUAGGACCACUUCUUGGAUGUUGUGGUGGAAAGCAUUUGCGGUUUGGGAUGAGCCUGGGGCCUAUCAGCUUGUUGGUGGGGUAAUGGCCUCCCAAGGCGGCGUCGGGUAUCCGGCCUGGGAGGGUGUACUGACACAUUUGGACUGCGAUACGGGCCAGACUCCUACGGGAGGCAGCAGUGGGGAAUAUUGCACAAUGGGCGCAAGCCUGAUGCAGCGAUGCCGCGUGGGGGAUGACGGCCUUCGGGUUGUAAACUCCUUUCGCUAUCGACGAAGCCACCUUGGGUGGUGACGGUAGGUAGAUAAGAAGCACCGGCUAACUACGUGCCAGCCGCCGCGGUAA
rnacentral:rRNA from 1 species